rnacentral:rRNA from 1 species
AGGACUAACGCUGGCGGCGUGCCUAACACAUGCAAGUCGAACGAGGGGUAGCAAUACCCCUAGUGGCAGACGGGUGAGUAACACGUAGUCAACCUACCUCUUAAUGGGGGAUAACUAGCCGAAAGGUUAGCUAAUACCGCAUACGAUCGUCGAGUGGCAUCACACGACGAUGAAAGGAGCAAUCCGUUGAGAGAGGGGACUGCGUCCCAUUAGUUAGUUGGUGGGGUAAUGGCCUACCAAGACUCCGAUGGGUAGCUGGCUUGAGAGAGCGACCAGCCACACUGGAACUGAGACACGGUCCAGACUCCUACGGGAGGCAGCAGUGAGGAAUUUUUCCGCAAUGGGGGAAACCCUGACGGAGCGACGCCGCGUGUGGGAAGAAGGCCUUGGGUCGUAACCACUGUCGAGGGGACGAUAUUGACGGUACCCCUGGAGGAAGCCCCGGCUAACUACGCGCCAGCAGCCGC